GCGUGCAAGGAGGAGUUUUGGGAGGCCACUCAAAGAUGUCAAAUCGGGGAUUCCAAACACUGUGCGCUGUGCUUCUGAGCGCUGCGUUGGCUUCCAUCGCCCCGGUACGCUGAAGGAAUAAGCGUGGCUUACAGUGGUAGUUCCGGAGGUCCGCGUACCCAGUCUUGGUACUGGCCGAGCUCCAGUCUGAACGGAAGCCCUUCAGAGCAACGUGGCAUUAGGACUCAUGGCAUCAUAGAAUGGCCUGGGUUGAAAAGGCCCACCACGAUCACCUAGUUCCAACCCCCUGCUAUGUGCAGGGUCGCCAACCGCCAGCCCAGGCUGCCCAGAGCCACAUCCAGCCGCAUCCCCUGAAUGCCUCCAGGGACGGGGCAUCCACAACCUCCUUGGGCACCCUGCUCCAGUGCGUCACCACCCUCGGGGUGAAAAACUUCUUCCUCCUCAUAUCUAACCUAAACCUCCCCUGCCUCAGUUGAAAACCAUUCCCCCUUGUCCUAUCGCUACCCACCCUCGUAAGCAGCCGUUCCCCGUCCUGUUUAUACGCUCCCUUCAGGUACUGGAAGGCCACAGUGAGGUCCCCCCGGAGCCUUCUCUCCUGCGAGCUCAACAGGCCCAGUUCCCUCAACCUUUCUUCAUAGGAGAGGUGCUCCAGCCCUCUGCUCAUCCUAGUGGUCCUGCUCUGGACCUGUUCCACGAUCGCUUCUUGUGCUGGGGGCCCCAGGCCUGGGCGCAGUACUGCGGAUGGGGCCUCGCAAGAGCCGAGUAGAGGGGGACAAUCACCUCCCUCUCCCUGCUGGCCACCCCUUUCUUAGUGCAGCCCAGAGCACCGUUGGCCUUCCGGGCUGCAGGCGCGCACUGCUGGCUCACGUCCAGCUUCUCGUCCACCAGGACCCCCGGGUCCUUCUCCGCAGGGCUGCUCUCAAGGAGCUCUUCCCCCACUCUGAAGCGGGCAUUCUUUUCUUAUGGCGCUGACGCAUGGGGGAUCGCUCCGCCCAACUGCGCGCAAAAGAGCUUCAGCUGAUGCGUGUCUCUUGUGUCGUGCAUGUCAAGGUUUUCCCAGACGGCACGCACGUACUCAGUACUUUCCCUGACAUCACUAACGUAGGGUUCUGCGUCCUUGCACGUGCUCGGUCUUUCUGUGGUGGCGGUCCUAAUCGGUGCCUCCGACCUUCGAUGGUCUUCCACGAUCGCUCUCCUCCGCAUUGCUGGGUGGUUGAAAUCCUCCUUCCGGAGGAGAGCUUGGAGCAUGACGGCCCUUGUAGCUGAAGCCAGGCGGCCUCAUCAGCGGGCCGGGGUAGCGCUCUUCACCUCUGUCAGUACGGCGGUGGACGCACCGGCGAGGGCCGAGACCUGUGCCCCUUCGGGGGAAUCCCCGGGGGCGUCUGGUGCAUCCACUCGGGCAGAUAUGGCAAGAAAGCGAAAAUCUACCUGAUGGCGCUGGAAGGGCGGCACUGCCCGCGGCCGGCCUCCCUUUGCUAUUUGCUUCGUUUCUUCUUCGCUUCAGCACGCGGGGCAGACAUCAGGAAUGCAAAUGACUGAUACAGCAAGCAUCAGCCGUUUCCAACGUUAGAAAUGUUGUUAGAAAGAAAGGCUUCAGGAAGCGGUGGCGCAUUCUCCCGUGGGCAGCGGUGAGGACAAAGGAGUGACAAGCAAGUAUACAUAAAGGUACAUUUUAUUAACGACUUACUCCUAUCGCUGGCAUCCAACAGUAAAAUGGGCAAAAGCCCAACCCGAGGCACGAGGCAGGGAAAUGGAAUCAAAGGGAAACCGGCAGAUGGUCGCUCUCUCUUCCCCUCCCCUUCCGUUCCAGGAAAGGAAACCAGGCCUUCCAGGCUUUGCUGUUUCACUCCACGAUGAGAGGGGUUGUGUAGAGGGAAUGCCGGAUUCCAAACGUGGAUGCAGGCGCCUGGGGCUUGAUCAGCGUCACCUGGAAGGGCGAAAAGGAAAGGCAGGUCAGCGAGGGCCCUUCUCUCCUCUGCUGCCCUCGCUCCCUGCUGUCCCGCACCCCUUCCGAUCCCAGACAGUCCCUGGUGCCUCUCCGGGCAGGGCUGAACGCCAGCGCAAAGCCGGUGCAGCUCCCUGCUGGAGCAGAGCUGGCUCGGGGAGGUGGGCUUACGGGCACCUCCUGUCUCGGAGCGGGCCGGGUGUGCAGCUGGGAGCUCGCAGCUAACUCUCUCUCCUAUGCUGGGGGCAUGCUGCUUGGAGCCCUUCUGAGCUGCGUCCCCCAGAAGAGCUUGGGAAGGACCAGCGCGUCCCAUUGAAGGGAAAAGGAGCAGAGGGAGGAAAAGCUGCGUGCUGUGCUGUCCCUCCCUCCCUCCCUCUGCUCGCAGGUGGCACGAGGGCAGGGGGCAGGCCUGCUGUCCUGCACUUGGUCCCUGCGGCCAGGAGCUCUUGGGCUGGAGGAAGCCUCAGGGGAAGGGGGAGAGGCGUGAAGGCCGCGCUUGUGAAACAGAGGGGAAGAGCUGAGCAGCUGCCUUACCCGGCCUACGCUGUAGUCUGCCGGCCCGGGCUUCGCUGCUUUGCCCUCUCCAGCUUUUGGUCGGGCUGCCAUCGUGUACGCGGGCGCCCUGGUCUUGUAGGCAUCCACAGGCACUUUGGGGAGCGCCGCAGGACCCGGAGUCUGCAAGAGAGUCACGACCAUACAGGGCUGGGGUCACAUUCAAGGCUCUCUCUUUCCCCGGCAGUCUGCGUUAAGCAAAGUUGCAGCAGGCUUGGAAGCCCCUGUGGCACAGGGGGAGCAGCCCAGGUUCGGAUGCUAACGCGGAAAAGAGGAGCGGCAGAGCUCACCUUGGCAAGGUCUUCGUCAAACCGACCUCGCUGGCUCCUUCCCCUCACAGAGUAGCAGGGGCUGGCCGAUGUGUAGACUGUGUUGGGCCCCAUCAGCCUGGGCAGCGUGUAGGUGCCAGGACCUGCAGGAGGAGCAGCAGAGAGCGUGUGCGCGAGGGGCUGGAGGAGACGGAAGCAGCAGAGAGGGGCAGCCUGCCCAGCCUGCUGGUGGGAGCAGGAGGGAGGUCUCGCCCCUCUGCCAGUUCCUCCCUCUACUCUGGCACUGGGCCAGCGCCAGCAGCUCCGAGCCUGAGCAGCCGCAGCCGCUGCGGGCCCAGAGGUGUUGGUCGUGCAAGAAAGCUUGCGGCCCCAGCGCCGCGUCCUGCCGCGCAGGCUGUGCAGUAGGCCCGCUGCUGGUGCUGAGCAGCAGCCCGUCCCUGCGGGAUGCUCAGGCUGAAGGGUCUGCCUUUGCCAGGGUCAGCGUACCUGGAGGGUGGUCUGUCCGGAGGGGCUCCCGCCGGAAGGCCAUGGACUGCACCGGUGGGCACUUGAAGACGUGCCUGUUGGCUGCCUCGGUGCGGUAGUCACCUGGGGCGGAAGAGAAGAGGAAGAAAGCCGUGAAGCGCCGGUCUUCUUCUUCUGCAACCGCACAGGCACUGUCCCGAGGAAAGGGUCUUCUCAAGAGCUGCAGAAUUGCCGCUGGGGGACACAGGCAGCACGCGGGGACGCUCUUCUGUGCCCCGCCGCUAUGCCCUGCCUUGCUGUCCCUCCCGUCAGCCCCCUGCCGCUUGUUCUUUUUGGACACGGGGUCCUUGUGCCCUCGGCCCGUGGCCCUGGGCAGCUGUCCUUCUCCGAGGGCGUUUAUCGCUGCUCAGAGCGGUUUGCGUUCUCUCAAAAAAGACCUACAGCUCCAUCAGGGCGCGAGCUGGCCCCGGGCAAACGCGCCGCCCGCUCGUCUUGUCUGGGUGAAGUGCUGCACAAGUGGUACUCACUUGGUCCGGGAGUGACGGUGGUCUUCGUCGCGGGUCGUCCCCGGAGCUGGGCGCCCGGAGCCACGUACUUCCCGUUCCUGGUGAUGGCGGGCUCCACAAAGUAGCAGGGACCUGGCCCGCAGCUCCCUGCCGCAGGCGGUUUGGUCCCUCUAAACGUGUAGGCGGGGGCACGGGCUUUGGUGGGGCUGUGGCCCACAUAACCUAGGAGGAAAAGCAGAAGAGAGCACACCCCUGUGCAGCUGCACGUCUCAAGCUCCGUUGGAACAGGCGCAGUUAGGCGCCGGGCCCUGGCCCCGACAUUCCCUUCCCGCGUGACUUCUUCCUCCAAGAGCCCUGGAGGCGAGCUGUGCCGGGCCUCGGAGCGCACAAGAGUCAGUCCCUGAGUGCAAACGGCUGCGCGAGUGCCUUGCAAAGUCACCGCAAAAAGACAGCGGAGUUUUGGCCAGCACGCUGCCUGUACCCGCACCACGCGUGCAGGCACUCCACAGCGAGAGCCCCCUAAGGGUCAAUUGUUCUGCAAGACCCCGUAACGCCUCUCUACAGCUGCAAAGCUGAGUCUGCGCUGGCCAGAAGCGGGCCCCUUUUUCCCCGGGCCACAAGGAGCAGCGCCAGCGGCACCGGCCUUCCUCGGCCAGGCCUGGCUCGCGGCUGCGCCAGGGAGCCAGGAGGCUCUGACAGAACGGGGAAAGGCUCGGGAGCUGCUCUGCCCCGCCAUGUCCCCGGUGCGCCUCACGCCCUGGGGAUGGUGGCUGUACCUGUUGUCCCCGGGAUGGAGUACUGGGGCCCGGGGCUGGGGAACUGGGCCGAGAUGAGGCCGCGUGGGCGAUGAGGUCUCCAGGUCCCCACCCAGGCUCCGUCCAUGCUGGCAGGCAUGUGCCUCCAAACCUAAAGGCAAGAACAGAGGAGUUACUGACGGGCUGCCCCAACAGAGGCCGCAGGUGAGCUUUGCUUCCCGCCCCCCGCGUCUCCUCUGCUCAGCCGCAAGCUGUCCGCCACGUGGCUUGCAGCUCCUGAGCCGGAAGGGCCGGCAGCAGUUUCUCCCGCUCACUGCCAGUCCUGCCAGCCUCGUGCUGCAUGCCCCUCGCGCACACCGGAGCUCAGCCCGCACCCUGCAGCUGGGCUCUGCAGCCUGACGUGUGCAGGAGCUCUCCCUCACCUCUCUGAGCCUUGGAGGACGAGCGCGAUGAGGCUGAGCUAGUCUGCUGCUGGGGCUGCUCUCAGGCACAGGGCACGGCGAGCGGCUGCGGGCAGCACAGCUCACAAAUGAGGCGCCUGGAGCCAGCGGCCAGCUGUCCUUGGGGAGGGCCCGGCGUCGUCAUGGCAAUGCAUUGUGACAGCACACGGGCUCCGGGUGAUGUCAUCUGUGCUGUGACAUCUCCUGGCUGGCCUGGAGCCACGCCCGCCACGCCUUUUCGGCCUCGCACCCCAACCAGUACAAAGCCGUAGCGCACGCUGCCGACACCUGCAGAUGGACUGAGCUCUCACUUCUAGCCACGUGCCGCCCGGGGCUCCUGAGGCUCGGUCAGCGUCACCUGCAAGGGAGAGAUUACGUUACUUCGAACCUACUGGAACAUUUCUGAGAAUGACACUCUGUUCUUUGGAGCUCUGUGUGUAUAGAUGUAUAUAAAAAUAAAUAUACGAGAGCCCUAAAAGCA